UAGCCCACCCGUUUUUGUGGCCUUUUUCCGCGGGACGAACUUGGCGCCCCGGCCUUCGGGCGGUUAUUUUUGGGCGCGGCUGUGCCCGCGGCCUAUUUUUGGCACUGGGAGGUGCCUCGCAAAGUCUCGCGCCAUUCCGAGUCCAUCGGACGAAGUGGGCCAGCCCCACCCCCCAAGGCUAUAGCCCACCGGUUUUUGUAGCCUUUUUCCGCUGGAAAAACUUGGCGCCCCGGCCUUCGGACGGUUAUUUUUGGGCGCGGCUGUGCCCGCGGCCUAUUUUGGAACACGGAGGUGCCUCGCAAAGUCUCGCGCCCUUCCGAGUCCGGCGGACGAAGUGGGCCUGCCCCACCCCCCAAGGCUAUAGCCCACCCGUUUUUGUGGCCUUUUUCCGCUGGACGAACUUGGCGCCCCGGCCUUCGGGCGGUUAUUUUUGGGCGAGGCUUUGGCCGCGGCCUAUUUUUGGUACACGGAGGCCCCUUGUAAAGUCUCGCGGCAUUCUGAGUCCGGCGGACGAAGUUGGCCAACCCCACCCCCCAAGGCUAUAGCCCACCCGUUUUUGUGGCCUUUUUCUGCUGGACGAACCUGGCACCCUGGCCUUCGGGCGGUUAUUUUUGGGCGCGUCAUUGCCCGCGGCCUAUUUUCGGCACACGGAGGCCCCUCGCAAAGUCUCGAGGCAUUCCGAAUCCGGCGGACAAAUUUGGCCUGCCCCACCCCCCAAGGCUAUAGCCCACCCGUUUUGUGGCCUUUUUCCGCAGGACGAACUUGGCGCCCCGGCCUUCGGGCUGUUAUUUUUGGGCGCGGCCCUUCCCGUGGCCUAUUUUUGGCACAAGGAGGGCCCUCGCAAAGUCUCACGGCAUUCCAAGUCCGGUGGACGAAGUUGGCCAGCCCCACCCCCCAAGGCUAUAGCCCACCCGUUUUUGUGGCCUUUUUCCGCUGGACGAACUAGGCGCCCCGGCCUUCGGGCGGUUAUUUUUGGGCGCGGCUGUGCCCGCGGCCUAUUUUUGGCACUCGGAGGUGCCUCGCAAAGUCUCGCGCCAUUCCGAGUC
rnacentral:lncRNA from 1 species